AUUGAACGCUGGCGGAAUGCUUCACACAUGCAAGUCGAACGGCAGCACGGACUUCGGUCUGGUGGCGAGUGGCGAACGGGUGAGUAAUGUAUCGGAACGUGCCCAGUCGUGGGGGAUAACGUAGUGAAAAUUACGCUAAUACCGCAUACGAUCUAUGGAUGAAAGCGGGGGAUCGCAAGACCUCGCGCGAUUGGAGCGGCCGAUAUCAGAUUAGGUAGUUGGUGGGGUAAAGGCCCACCAAGCCAACGAUCUGUAGCUGGUCUGAGAGGACUACCAGCACAACUGGAACUGAGGCACGGUGCAGACUCCUACGGGAGGCAGCAGUGGGGAAUUUUGGACAAUGGGCGAAGGCCUGAUCCAGCCAUUCCGCGUGCAGAAUGAAGGCCCUCGGGUUGUAAACUGCUUUUGUACAGAACGAAAAGGUUUCUACUAAUACUAGGAGCUCAUGACGGUACUGUAAGAAUAAGCACCGGCUAACUACGUGCCAGCCGCCGCCGUAA
rnacentral:rRNA from 1 species